GAAGACGUGUGCCGAGUGGUCUAAGGCGCUGGUUUAGAAAACCAGUAGGCUCUGCCUGCGCAGGUUCGAAUCCUGUCGUCUUCG
rfam:chromosome I of strain GB-M1 of Encephalitozoon cuniculi (Microspora)